rnacentral:rRNA from 1 species
GACGAACGCUGGCGGCGUGCUUAACACAUGCAAGUCGAACGGGCCCGCCCCUGUUUUUGGGGGUGGGUUGAGUGGCGAACGGGUGAGUAUCACGUGAGUAACCUGCCCCCUGCUCCUGGAUAACUGCUUGAAAGGGCGGCUAAUACGGGGUGUGCCGGCUGGUCCGCAUGGGCCUGGUCGGGGUAGUUUCAUCUUCGGGUGUUUCGGUGGGGGAUGGGCUCGCGGGCUAUCAGCUUGUUGGUGGGGUGAUGGCCCAGCAGGGUGGUGACGGGUGGCCGGUCUGAGGGGGUGGGGGGCCGAGAGGGGACUGGGACACGGUGGAGACGCCUGCGGGAGGCAGCAGUGGGGGGAAUUGCACAAGGGGCGGAAGGCUGAUGCAGCGGAGUCGCGUGAGGGAUGGAGGGCUUCGGGUUGUGAGCCUCUUUCUCCGGUGGUGAAGGCCCUGUCCGUUGCGGCGGGGUUGACGGUAGCCGGGUAUGAAGCGCCGGCUAACUACGUG